rnacentral:rRNA from 1 species
AAUAAGAUUUUAAUUGAAUGCUAAGAGAAUGGACUCUCAGAGAAAAACUUUUUUUAAAUUAAAAAUUGAAAUUUUUUUAAUUUGUGCAGAAACAAUUAUUAAUAUUAAGGACAAGAAGACCCUAUGAAUUUAUUAAAUUUCAUUCAAUAUGUAAUUACUAUUGAAGAAAUUUUGGCUGGGGCGGCUAAAAAAUAUUUUAAACUUUUUAAAAAUAAAAUGAUCCAUUAUUAAUGAUUAUAUGUUAAAUACUCUAGGGAUAACAGCGUUAUAUUUUUUGAUAGACCAUAUUGACAAAAAAGUUUGCGACCUCGAUGUUGGAUUAGGAUACUUUUU